rnacentral:lncRNA from 1 species
ACAGUGGCUUUUUUUAAAAUCACCUCAAUCCCAAACGAGGCCGAAGUAACCUGUAACUAUUUCUUGCAGACAACACUCAACGAAGUCAAUGCAUAAGCUCUUCUCUCUAGGACAAAAAGUUGGGUCAUGUGUUUUAAGAAAAUAAGUCUAAACAAAAAAAAAAAAAACAUACAAAAUCAGUAAAUUGUUGGAUAAAUUUGGAAUCUGAGCUGUUUUGUUGAAGGGAAAAAAGUGUGAACUUUUUCUGAGAAGCUAGAAGCCAAGUUGUGAUCAGAGAGGGAAACAAUCAUGUUAUAACAAAAUUCUUAACCACCAUUAAAGAUGCUUACAUCUCUCUUUGUGAUCUCUAAUUAUCAUUUAAUUCCAAAAUUGAUACAAUAAGACAUAGCAGUUUUAGUUAAGCAUUGCUUAAAAUGAUAAUUCCCUACACUGACAACCACUAUUAUCAUAAUAAAUUACAGAUGAAUUAAAUCAACCUAUUCAGAAAAAGUCACAAAGUUCUGUACCACAGCUUUAUAACAAUGAAAAAGAAAGCUCCACUAUAACAAAAAGUGAAAACAUUAUCUAGUCCUUCUCAACAACACAACAAUUAUUAUCUUGGACAUGGGCAGAUGCCUUAUGUUCAAUAUUAAGUUACAUGUUAAAGAACUUCGGGGAGGAUGAGACAGUUCACUAUCAUAAAAACCUAAUGAAAACACCAACCAACCAAUAACAAAAUCACAAAGAUAAAAUGGUUAACAACAUUCAAUAAAGAAUCAAGAACAUUGGGUUAAACUAAAAUCACAGAGAUAGCAAGGGACCUUCAACCUUAACAGAAUCGCACAGAGAAAAUUAAAACCAAAAAAAAAAAAAAGACAAACCAUCCAACCUCUGGACAAUCAGAGGAUCACAGAGACAACAAAAAAAUGAGAAACAAAGCAGAAACCAAACAAAUAAUAUAAGGCGAUCAACCAAACAAUCAAUAAAAAAAUCAUAAAGUCGCAUUGUCUCAAACAAAAAGCACGGGAAAAGAAUGCAUUGAAGUUCAGGUGACAUACCAAAGCCUUGAUUCAAAUGCAAUGCCUCAGAACCCCUAGAUUAAUGGCAGUAGCAAGAGUUGAUCACUAUGUUGCGAUGAUAAUCCGAUCUAAACUGCAAAAAAGCAGUGAGAUUCAAAGUAAGAAUUCGAAGCGCAAACAAACAAACGUAGGAAAAGUAACUCGAUCUGUAACAGUGCAAUGGACUUACUCUAUGACAGUGCAUUGACUUAAUCUACAACAUAACUACAUUUCACGAUAGAAAAGUGGCUAAUGAUGGGAAGGUAUCAUUUGUCAUCAUGACCUUUUUAGCAUUCAACUCUUCCAUCUGAGAUGAUAGAUUAUUUUAAAAAAAAGUUAUUGAAACCUUCCAACAAACACAAAAAACGUGCUAAAACCAAACAUUUUUACCACUCAUCCCCACCCAUGUCCCGAGAUUACUAUAUUCAAAUAUUUUACGGAUGAAAGGGUGGGGGAAGGCAAGUUAUAGCACCGCAAACAAAGAGAUAAAGCGAGAGGCAACAAAGGUAAACAUCACAUGUCAAAUGUCAAAUGCCAGAUACACUUUAGGCACAAUACUACAUCAAUAGACACUUUAGGCACAUCACGUAAAAUGCUAAAUCCCAUUUAAAAAAAAAAUUAUAAACAAUCCUAAAUGCCUUAUUUCAAUCAAAAUCUACACAGAGUAAGGAGGUUAAAGAGAUGAUAAGCUAAUUAAACCUCAGGCAGAGCGUCACUCACAUAGGCCAAACAUAUACCAUAUCCCAAACCUCACUUAAAAUACACCCAAAAAUUGGAAUGAUUUCAUUCUAAUCUCAAAACAAAAGGCCAAAUGUUAAGCAUUAACUAAUGAGAAUUAAAAUAUAAACUCAAGAAUUCAAAGUUUCAAAUGUGCCAUGUCUUGGGAAAAAGUACAACCAAGAUUUGGCACCUUGACCUAUCAGAUACCCCCAUAAGACCAUCUCCAACCCUUGGGCUAAAAGCCAAAUUUUUUAGCCCGGAAAAUUUGGCUUUUAGCCCAGAAACAUCUUUUCUGCUCCAACCCUGCUGCCCUAAAAUUUUAGCCCGGAAUUAUUAAAGAAUGAACUUAGGCUAAUUUUUUUCUUAAAUCAAUUUUUUUUUAAAAUAAAUAUAUAGAUUAUUGUAAAUUAAUUUUAUGAACAUUUUAAUCUAAAAAAAUUUAAAUUCCGAUAAACAUUUGGGAUUUAGCCCGGGGGGAAAGCUGGGGGGUAUUUGGCCCAGAAAUAACAUUUGGCAUUUAGUCUAAAAUUUUAUCAUGGGUUGGAGAGUGUUUGGGGGGGGUAAUUUGGGGGGUAAUUUAGCUUUUAGCCUAGGUUUGGAGAUGGUCUAAACAAAAAUAACAAAGAUCAAUCCAAAAAGGAGUUCAACAGUUUAGAACAACAAACAGCAUAAAAAAUUAGUGAACACAACAUUCAUUCAUAUUUUCCAAUCAAUUCUAAAACCCAGAAAUCAUUACGCCUAGACCUUUUAUUUUCACCAUGGCCGUUGCUCGUACCCUACAUCUACCAAUCCAAAUUUAUUCAAGAAACAAUGCUGAGGAGAAAAUUCAGAAGUAAGAAUGUCCCAUGAUUAGUCUUCUCGUUUAUUUUUCACAAACAUUUAAAAUCCAAGUACGAAAGGUUUGCAAAAGAUAAAUAAAAAAUUUAUAUAACUAAUUAGACUUUGAACAUCAAAUCAGGGCGCAUAAUCUUAUACCUAAAAAUAGCAAGGAACUGGCUUCUUCCUCCCACAACCAGAGUUCCUGAAAUUUCCAAAGAAAGUAAAUCCGUUAGCAAUUCAGAGAAAUUGGAGGACCAAAUUGUAUUAAAUUUGAGUUAAAUGAGCAAAGGUACACCAAUUAAAUGAGAUACUAAACACAUUUUGAAUCUAUGAAAUAGAAGAACAAUCAUGUUAAGACCCCCAAGAUGGUGUCCUGAUCACAAAAUUAUAGGUUAAUAAGGGUAAAUCCCAAUCCAAAGCUCCAACCUUUUAAAUUAAAAUGAAAACAAAAAGCAUGGAACAUAUAUUUCAGUUUUAUUAUUAGAUUUUCUAAAUCCUCAAUUUGAAAAGAUAAUACCACCAACUAAGGGUGACAAUCUGACCAUUGUUGUGCAUGUCAUGUCCACUCUAUGUAACUGAAUAUAUAAAAUUUAAGCAGCCCUAGACAGUCUCCUACACAUCUACAAACCAUUAACAUUAUUUCCCCAAUUUUAUUUCCCAAUUUUAUCAAAUGCUGCAUAAACGAUCACAAUUUACUCCCUUCCAAUUUCCACCUAAUGUUGAACAAACAAUAUUGAUAAAUCUUUAUCAUCACCUUUAACAAAACAGAUUACAGCGAAAAGAAAAAAAAAGUUCCUAUGCAAACAAAUUUAAGUAGUUUAAGAUAGUCUGCUAAGUACAAAAUUAUAGUUGAAUAAAAAAAAUCCCGAUCCAAAGCUCCAACUUUUUAAUCUAAAAUGAAAAUGAAAAGCAUCGAACAUAUAAUUCAGUUUUGUUAUUAGAUUUCCUAAAAUAAACACACACACACACACACCAAACAAAAAACACCUACCCAGUUGGAAAUGAUUUUUGCAUAUUUAGGCAAAAGACAGCAUGAUUCAAAUAUAAUUUUAUUAGGGUUGGUAAAAGCACAAUCCAUCCAACAAGAUGUCUAUCGUGCAAAGAUCCACUGUCAACUAUUAUACCAACUGUGAUUCAUCUGUCACACACUUUAGUUCCAUCGUACGUACCAAACCCCACCAAACCACAUGCUAAUUAAACUAAUUAACAAAGUAAAACCAUCUUUAGUCUUUAAUAUCCAAAGCCCAAAAAAUGUUGCCCUCCUUUUGCGAACCAAAUACAAAGAGAAUAUAACACAUUUUCUAUCAAAAUAUUAUACAAAUAUGUACUAACUAAACCAAUUUUCGAGAGGAUUUAACUAACGCUAGCAUCCAAUACUUGAUUAACCAAUCAAUUUAGAGGUUGCUCUAAACACCACCUAAUCCUAUUACCACUUAAGCCAAGACAGUCGAAAAAAACAACAAAGAAAGCCAUUGGGUUACCAUAUUCAAGGGCUGCCAUUUGCAUUGAAAUGGGGGUAGCACCACAGACACAUAUCCAAACCAGACGCAACCAUUCAUAUUCUCUCAAUGCAUUGAUUUGCCAAACACAAAACACACAGCCCUAAGAUCCUGUAGUACAAUUUGGAUUUUUCUUAAGCAUGCAUACACUACAAAAGUAAUACAGUUAUUUGAAAAACGGACUCUGGCUUAUCACUUGCAGCUAUGUUUCCAAUUGCUUCUUGUGUUUGAUUACUUUUUCUUCUCUGAUGAAACAUAAAUCACAUACAUACUCCAAAAACCAAAAAGAAAAUGUUGCAAAGGGGAAAUUGGAAAAUUAUACCACCAUCAAAACUUGCACGGAAGGCAUCCUAAGUCAUAACAACGAAAGUAAAGCAAACCCGGAAAUAAAUAAACAAACUAAGAAAAGACAAAUUCAACAUCUUAAACUAUUAAUCUAUUAGAUAUCAACUAAAGAAUAAUUGUCAACCAAAUGCAUGUCAAAUGAAUAACGUAAGAAAUACUCAGCUUUCUUCCCCCCCCCCAAUAAUACCUAUGCAAACCAGCCACACCAGAGCAAGAGUAUCUCAUAUUAUCAGGGUUAAAAGCAAGAGUAUCCCAUAUCAUGCUUUUUCCCUGUCUUUUCCUUUGGCCUUGUUCUUACCUGCAAGACAAGGAGAAAGAGAGCAAUCAGUCAGCACUUGGAAUCAAGCUUCCAGUCAGGAACUGACUGCCUAGAACCCCUUGCCUGAUUACUUACCUGGCAUUGCUCUCGAGUACUCAUCUUUAACAUCUUAUGCUUCCAGAGACGAUACCACAUCUGCCUGAGGAACAGAUAGGGCAAGUGAGAAGGAUACAAGGAAGCAUGUGGAGACAAGCGUAACAGAACACGUGCCAAUACAUCUACUACUUUGUCAA